UACGGAGGGUGCAAGCGUUAUCCGGAUUUACUGGGUUUAAAGGGUGCGCAGGCGGAUAUGUAAGUCAGUGGUGAAAUCUCUAGCUUAACCUGGAAAUUGCCGUUGAUACUAUAUAUCUUGAAUGCUGUGGAGGUAAGCGGAAUAUGUCAUGUAGCGGUGAAAUGCUUAGAUAUGACAUAGAACACCUAUUGCGAAGGCAGCUUACUACGCAGAUAUUGACGCUCAUGCACGAAAGCGUGGGGAUC
rnacentral:rRNA from 1 species